GAAGCGUCUGGAAAGGCGCGCGAUACAGGGUGACAGCCCCGUACACAAAAGCGCAUGUGUUGUGAGCUCGAUGAGUAGGGCGGGACACGUGGUAUCCUGUCUGAAUAUGGGGGGACCAUCCUCCAAGGCUAAAUACUCCUGACUGACCGAUAGUGAACCAGUACCGUGAGGGAAAGGCGAAAAGAACCCCGGCGAGGGGAGUGAAAAAGAACCUGAAACCGUGUACGUACAAGCAGUGGGAGCACCCUUUGGGGUGUGACUGCGUACCUUUUGUAUAAUGGGUCAGCGACUUAUAUUCUGUAGCAAGGUUAACCGAAUAGGGGAGCCGGAGGGAAACCGAGUCUUAAUUGGGCGUUAAGUUGCAGGGUAUAGACCCGAAACCCGGUGAUCUAGCCAUGGGCAGGUUGAAGGUUGGGUAACACUAACUGGAGGACCGAACCGACUAAUGUUGAAAAAUUAGCGGAUGACCUGUGGCUGGGGGUGAAAGGCCAAUCAAACCGGGAGAUAGCUGGUUCUCCCCGAAAGCUAUUUAGGUAGCGCCUCGUGAACUCAUCUCCGGGGGUAGAGCACUGUUUCGGCUAGGGGGCCAUCCCGGCUUACCAACCCGAUGCAAACUGCGAAUACCGGAGAAUGUUAUCACGGGAGACACACGGCGGGUGCUAACGUCCGUCGUGAAGAGGGAAACAACCCAGACCGCCAGCUAAGGUCCCAAAGUCAUAGUUAAGUGGGAAACGAUGUGGGAAGGCCCAGACAGCCAGGAUGUUGGCUUAGAAGCAGCCAUCAUUUAAAGAAAGCGUAAUAGCUCACUGGUCGAGUCGGCCUGCGCGGAAGAUGUAACGGGGCUAAACUAUGCACCGAAGCUGCGGCAGCGACACUAUGUGUUGUUGGGUAGGGGAGCGUUCUGUAAGCCUGUGAAGGUGUGUCGUGAGGC
rnacentral:rRNA from 1 species